rnacentral:rRNA from 1 species
CCUACGGGAGGCAGCAGUAGGGAAUUUUGCUCAAUGGGGGAAACCCUGAAGCAGCAACGCCGCGUGGAGGAUGAAGGUUUUCGGAUUGUAAACUCCUUUUGUUAGAGAAGAUAAUGACGGUAUCUAACGAAUAAGCACCGGCUCACUCCGUGACAGCAGCCGCGAUAAUACGGAGGGUGCAGGCGUUACUCGGAAUCACUGGGCGGAAAGAGCGCGUAGGCGGGAUAGCAGGUCAGAUGUGAAAUCCUAUGGCUUAACCAUAGAACUGCAUUUGAAACUGUUAUUCUAGAGUAUGCGAGAGGUAGGUGGAAUUCUUGGUGUAGGGGUAAAAUCCGUAGAGAUCAAGAGGAAUACUCAUUGCGAAGGCGACCUGCUAGAUCAUAACUGACGCUGAUGCGCGAAAGCGUGGGGAGCAAACAGGAUUAGAUACCCGGGUAGUC